GGCUUCUGGCUUUUUAUUAUUUGUGAUUGCUUGUUAUUUGUUGCUGAACUUGAUGACUUUGAGUCUUUGGCAUAUCCUUGGGUGCUUGUGAGUCAAAUUUUUAUGUUUGGUUCGUUCUUCUUUUGGACCUUGAGAGUAGGGUUGUUGGUUGUGUUAAUUCAUUCAAGAGCACCAAAAAGAAAUUGAAAACCAUGCUCUUAUUGCCGUAUUCUUAGUUACUUUUUCUGGGGAUAAUUGCUUGUAUUCAUGCAAUCGGUAUAUGUUUGUAGUAUACUGGAAUGCAGAGUUAUUAUUGCUUUAAUUAAUUGAUCAUUGGUAGUAAAAAAGUGCUGUCAGAUGCACAAAUUCUUCACUUAGUUUCUGAAAUUUAUUAGAUUAUGAAAUUCACUGCUAAUGAGCAAUAUCCUUCAGUUUAUAUUACUGCUAGUAUUUGACAAUUAGUUUAUCAGCAUUUCUUUGAUUAUUGUUCUUAGCUUAUUUCACAGGGGAAAGGAAGAGGUUAAAAAGAAAGAGGAACUAACGUCCAUAACUCAGGCUGGUCUGAUAGAAAAAUGUUUUAUACAUUUUUUAUGAAGGAAACAUUGAAAGGACAAUCAAGAUAAAACUUCUCUUUCCAAUAUGCUUUUGCUCCUGGAUUCAUUUGAAAGCUCCUUAGUUUUAUGAGUAUUGAUCCGAUAACUGGUUGCCUGAAGGAGAAGUUUGCUUUCAUCUCUUAAAUGGCUCAAGAUACUUCUGGUGCUAAAUCACCAAGGUGACAUUCUGGACUUUUGCGAGGCCAGGUGCAGUUGGUUAUCGUUAUGAGAUUGUUCCAAUCAAAGAUCCACUUUCCUUUGAGAAAGGUUUCUUCAUUGUAAGAAUUUCUUACAUGCCAAUUGUUGGCCCAAAGGAAUGAUGGAUUGAUUUUAGUUGGAGUAGCAGGACCAUCUGGAUCUGGAAAGACUCUGUUCACUGAGAAGGUGCUCAACUUUAUGCCCAGCGUAGCUGUCAUAACAAUGGACCACCACUACAAAGAUUCUAACCAUAUUGUUGAUGGCAACUUCGAUGGUAAAAUCUCAAAUUCUUUCAUUCUUCUGAUUGUUUACAUAAAGUCAUCAAAAUAAUCAGCAGAGUUUGUUGACACUGGUGGCUUCUUAUUUGAUCCUUCUAGUUUGAAUAUCAAGGAUAAUCAUGUAUGAGAAAAGUGGACGCUACCAGAUAUAACAUGCUGGUGGUAGUGGGCUGAAGAUUUGCGGCAUGAAAGAUAUUGUACCGCAAUGAUUAAAGACUGGAGAGGGAUGCAUGGCAGAGCUCUGAUAAUUGUAGUGUUAUGAAACACACCCAAGGUUGACUGAUCUUGACACACUGCUUGAAAAUUAUACACGGUUUAAAAUCAGGGAAACCUGUUCGAGUUCCUCUCUGGCUCUUGUAUAGGAUACAGGUUCUGUCUCUCCUUUAUGCUUAGCUAUUUUUCUAAGAACUCUUUUCAUAAGGGUUGAUGGUUUAUCCACUCUUUCUGCCUGCUAGGAAGAAAGACGAGAAAAAGGAAGCAAACAAGCAGUGGGCUAUUGGAAACAAAUAGUGAUUAGUACAUGUUCUUGAUCUUAGUUCCAUCAUCAUACUGAAUUUUGUACAAAAUUCAUAGCUUUGUUUAAUAUAGAAAUAAUUCAUUGAAAGUGCUCAUAUAUUGUUAGGGUUGCCUUUGUACAAUGCUGAAGUGUUGAAAGAGUCAAACCAUAGUAAAGCAGUAGCCAUAGGGCACGGAUUCAAUCACUGAUGUUUUUCGUAUAGGCGGAUUCAGGUGUCACUUUAUAAUGUUACAACAAUUUUAGAUUUUGUGGGA